UACGUAGGGCGCAAGCGUUGUCCGGAAUUAUUGGGCGUAAAGAGCUCGUAGGCGGCUUGUCACGUCGGGUGUGGAAGCCCGGGGCUUAACCCCGGGUCUGCAGUCGAUACGGGCGGACUUGAGUGUUGCAGGGGAGACUGGAAUUCCCGGUGUAGCGGUGAAAUGCGUAGAGAUCGGGAGGAACAUCAGUGGCGAAGGCGACUACCUGGCCUGUUCUUGACGCUGAGGCGCGAAAGCUAGGGGAGCAACGGG
rnacentral:rRNA from 1 species